UACGGAGGGGGCUAGCGUUGUUCGGAAUUACUGGGCGUAAAGCGCGCGUAGGCGGCUUUGUAAGUUAGAGGUGAAAGCCCGAAGCUCAACUCCGGAAUUGCCUUUAAGACUGCAUCGCUAGAAUUGUGGAGAGGUAAGUGGAAUUCCGAGUGUAGAGGUGAAAUUCGUAGAUAUUCGGAAGAACACCAGUGGCGAAGGCGACUUACUGGACACAUAUUGACGCUGAGGUGCGAAAGCGUGGGGAGCAAACAGG
rnacentral:rRNA from 1 species